rnacentral:lncRNA from 1 species
GGAUUUUCAACCUGCAUAAAUACAUUACAAAAUGCAUAAAAAAAAACUGAAUCACAACACAGCAUAACUACAUUCCAACAGAAAAACCACACAAUGCACUAGAGCCACCAUGUAAUAAAACAACCGGAACAGUAUCCAUAUGAUCCAUAUCAGUUAGGCAAGGCCCAUAACAGUAUAGAACAAUGGUCAAACAAGAAGCAGAGAGUACGCAUGGAAGCCAAGUUCGAAUGCAAGCUAAAGAUGUUGUUGUGGAAGGAUUUCCUUCUGUGGGAGUCUAUGAUCCAGGGGUUGCAUCUCCAGUAUCUAGUCAAUGAACAAAGGCCCGAGAUGAACAUGGAGCUGCAGCAAUGCAAGAUAAAUUAUACAUGUACGGUAGAAAUCACAAUAGUCGUUACCUUAGUGAUCCUCAUGUUUUGGAUUUGAGAAGACGAGCAUGGUAAAGGCUCGAGGCUAAAACUGGAGACGAACCCUCUACAACUUUGGACCCUUGUGCUGGCCAUUCUUUGAUUGCAUGGGAAAAUAAGCUCCUGUCUAUUGCUGGCCACGAAAAAGAUCUCUCAGAAAGUAUCCAAGUGAAACAGUUGAUCUGCAAACAGCAACUAUGGGAAACCUCCAAACCAGUUCUUGAAUGACCCUGCAUAAUAAAUAGAUUUUCAAAACCGGCAACCGAAAUCAAAAACUUCCAGAGCAAAACUUAUAAUCGAAACUUCUCCCAUAAUUAACUUCUUUCAAAAAAUAGCAUAAGAGAAUCACCCUCAAACCCCUAACAGUUUUUGAACCAUUGGAACCAAUACCUAACAGAAUCGAAACCGCAUAACAAUCUCCAACUUUUAUAACAACUCCAAACCGCUUUCUAACUAACCAACCGCAUUCCAACAAACUUCCCUAACCGAAUCUCACUCCCUCUUAAUAAAACUUUAACCAUUUUCAACAAUAAAAAGGAAAUCCUCCAUCACAAUCCGGGGGAGGAUAACUUCCAUCAAUUCUUCAACCUGUAAGCUCAACCUUCAUAUCAUUUUUUUCAUCUUCCAAACUGAACCAAUCUUCUUCACUUUCCAACUUCUCCUUCACCUUCACUCCAAACCUCCCUCAAAAUUCUGGCAACAAACUGAUAUAACAGAACCACAAAACCUCCUCUCGAACCUCUUCAUCACCUUCACUCCACAAUUGAUAACAGAUUCCUAACCACCCUCACAAGAACCAACUAUGAAUCUCCUGUAACUCCCCCUAACCUCUUCAAUGCCAACAGAAUCAACCUCCCCGUAACUGGAACCAACCUCCACAACAGAAUUCCGAUCAACCACCAAUCACAACCAGAAAAACGGAAACAGAAGCAAGAAAGAAGGAAGGUUGGAGGAAAAGAAAAAGAGAAGACUCACGGCAAUUUAGAGGGCCUCAUUUGUGACAAUUGGGAUUCACCGAAAAGAGUUCAAGAAGUGAUUUUCUUCACUCUUCAGAAGAAAGACGAUUCAU